AGAGUUUGAUCCUGGCUCAGAAUCAACGCUGGCGGCGUGCCUAACACAUGCAAGUCGAACGCGAAAGCCCCGCAAGGGGUAAGUAGAGUGGCAAACGGGUGAGUAACACGUGGGUGACCUGCCUUCGAGUGGGGGAUAACGUCCCGAAAGGGACGCUAAUACCGCAUGACAUCCUGCGUUUGAACACGCGGAGAUCAAAGCCGGGGAUCGCAAGACCUGGCGCUUGAAGAGGGGCCCGCGCCCGAUUAGCUAGUUGGUGGGGUAACGGCCUACCAAGGCAACGAUCGGUAGCCGGCCUGAGAGGGCGGACGGCCACACUGGGACUGAGACACGGCCCAGACUCCUACGGGAGGCAGCGGUGGGGAAUUGUUCGCAAUGGGCGCAAGCCUGACGACGCAACGCCGCGUGGAGGAUGAAGAUCUUCGGGUCGUAAACUCCUUUCGAUCGGGACGAAUGGCCUCCGGGCGAAUAAUCCGGGGGAGUGACGGUACCGAGAGAAGAAGCCCCGGCUAACUCCGUGCCAGCAGCCGCGGUAAUACGGGGGGGGCAAGCGUUGUUCGGAAUUACUGGGCGUAAAGGGCUCGUAGGCGGCCAACUAAGUCGGACGUGAAAUCCCUCGGCUUAACCGAGGAACUGCGUCCGAUACUGGAUGGCUUGAAUCCGGGAGAGGGAUGCGGAAUUCCAGGUGUAGCGGUGAAAUGCGUAGAUAUCUGGAGGAACACCGGUGGCGAAGGCGGCAUCCUGGACCGGCAUUGACGCUGAGGAG
rnacentral:rRNA from 1 species